CACACGGCAAGAUAGUGUUUGUGUCUGGGAGAGUAAGGUGGAGAUGAUGGGGAUAGGGGGUUUCAUGCAGUGAGGCAAACUUUGUGGGCAUUGUCAUUACCCAAUGAUGGUGGUUAGAUUGGUGUUGGUUGGAGGUUGUUUGCUUGAAGGAGGGAACAAUGGUUUGAUCUCCUCGAGUAGAUGAAGGAAACUGGUGCUAACAUUCGAAACUCCAUGUGCCAUUAGCCACAAACAAGAAAUUGCCAAAUCUCAGUCCAAAGUGCAGCCUGACAGGCCUUGUUCUGUUUUCGCCCGUUGCCAACCCUGAAAAGACCUUGAAUUGAUAGCCUAAUAUACAUAAGUUUUAUUGGUUAUGGCUAUUUCUAUUGCUACUUUUCUCCAUGCACAAAUCUAAGAGAUUUUGUAGGCAUGUACUUGAUGCACAUAAAUGACCAGAAAAUCAUUAGUUGUCAUCAAAGAUUUAACUAGAAGUGCCUUGAUUUUGAGAUGCCCUCUUAUAAUUAUUGUUAUAUUUGGAAUGCAAAG
rnacentral:lncRNA from 1 species